GGCUGGUUAGCUCAGUUGGUUAGAGCAUAGUGUUAAUAAUGCUAGGGUCAUGGGUUUGAUCCCUGUAUGAAACA
rnacentral:tRNA from 1 species